CCCUCGGUGGAGCUGCGGUACUUGCCGGUGAGCAGUCCGCCGCCGAGCGGGGACCACAGAGCGGCGCCGAGUCCGAGGCUCUCGGCCAUGGGC
rnacentral:tRNA from 1 species